CAGUCGCCGCGGUAAUACGAAGGGGGCUAGCGUUGUUCGGAAUUACUGGGCGUAAAGGGCGCGUAGGCGGCCAUUCAAGUUAGAUGUGAAAGCCCUGGGCUCAACCUAGGAAUUGCAUUUGAUACUGUUUGGCUUGAGUUCGGGAGAGGUGAGUGGAAUUCCCAGCGUAGAGGUGAAAUUCGUAGAUAUUGGGAAGAACACCGGUGGCGAAGGCGGCAACCUGGUCCUUGACUGACGCUGAGGCGCGAAAGCGUGGGGAGCAAACAGGAUUAGAUACCCGAGUAGUCCCUGUCUCUUAUAC
rnacentral:rRNA from 1 species